GAUGAACGCUGGCGACGUGCCUAAUACAUGCAAGUCGAGCGAACAGACGAGGAGCUUGCUCCUCUGACGUUAGCGGCGGACGGGUGAGUAACACGUGGAUAACCUACCUAUAAGACUGGGAUAACUUCGGGAAACCGGAGCUAAUACCGGAUAAUAUAUUGAACCGCAUGGUUCAAUAGUGAAAGACGGUUUUGCUGUCACUUAUAGAUGGAUCCGCGCCGCAUUAGCUAGUUGGUAAGGUAACGGCCUACCAAGGCAACGAUGCGUAGCCGACCUGAGAGGGUGAUCGGCCACACUGGAACUGAGACACGGUCCAGACUCCUACGGGAGGCAGCAGUAGGGAAUCUUCCGCAAUGGGCGAAAGCCUGACGGAGCAACGCCGCGUGAGUGAUGAAGGUCUUCGGAUCGUAAAACUCUGUUAUUAGGGAAGAACAAAUGUGUAAGUAACUAUGCACGUCUUGACGGUACCUAAUCAGAAAGCCACGGCUAACUACGUG
rnacentral:rRNA from 1 species